rnacentral:rRNA from 1 species
CGCAGAUCAGAAUGCUGCGGUGAAUGCGUUCCCGGGUCUUGUACACACCGCCCGUCACACCACGGGAGUUGGGGGCGCCCGAAGCCGGAUUGCUAACCUUUUGGAAGCGUCCGUCGAAGGUGAAAUCAAUAACUGGGGUGAAGUCGUAACAAGGUAGCCGUAUCGGAAGGUGCGGCUGGAUCACCUCCUUU